rnacentral:lncRNA from 1 species
CCGUAAUACACAGUAGGUAAUAAUAAAAUAUGUAUCUAUAAAUAUAUAUAUAUAUAUACAAAUAAUUAAAAGGAAAAGUUAAAUAAGAAAAAAAAGAGCCCAGAAUCGUCUACGCCUCUGGGAGUAUAUAUAUAAUUAAAUAAAAGACAAAUAAAGAAAGAGAAGUGGAGAAGACCGAGCAGCGGCCAGAGAGAGAGAGAGAGAGAGAGGAAAGCAAAACAAAGCACCAUGCGCGGUGUCCUCUGUCGAGACGAAAUCUAAUCUUCAUCUUUAUCAUUUUCAUCUGAAAGAGAGAGAGAAAUAN